UGGGGAAUUUUGGACAAUGGGCGAAAGCCUGAUCCAGCAAUGCCGCGUGUGUGAAGAAGGCCUUCGGGUUGUAAAGCACUUUUGUCCGGAAAGAAAUCCUUGGCUCUAAUACAGUCGGGGGAUGACGGUACCGGAAGAAUAAGCACCGGCUAACUACGUGCCAGCAGCCGCGGUAAUACGUAGGGUGCAAGCGUUAAUCGGAAUUACUGGGCGUAAAGUGUGCGCAGGCGGUUUGCUAAGACCGAUGUGAAAUCCCCGGGCUCAACCUGGGAACUGCAUUGGUGACUGGCAGGCUAGAGUAUGGCAGAGGGGGUAGAAUUCCACGUGUAGCAGUGAAAUGCGUAGAGAUGUGGAGGAAUACCGAUGGUGAAGGCAGCCCCCUGGGCCAAUACUGACGCUCAUGCACGAAAGCGUGGGGAGCAAACAGGAUUAGAUACCCUGGUAGUCCACGCCCUAAACGAUGUCAACUAGUUGUUGGGGAUUCAUUUCCUUAGUAACGUAGCUAACGCGUGAAGUUGACCGCCUGGGGAGUACGGUCGCAAGAUUAAAACUUAAAUGAAUUGACGGGGUCAUAGCUGUUUCCU
rnacentral:rRNA from 1 species